GACGAACCGUCCGAACGUUAUUCGGAAUCACUGGGCUUAAAGGGUGCGUAGGCGGCCAUGUAAGUGAGGUGUGAAAUCCCUCGGCUCAACCGAGGAACUGCGCUUCAUACUGCAUGGCUUGAGGGAGACAGGGGUAAGCGGAACUGAUGGUGGAGCGGUGAAAUGCGUUGAUAUCAUCAGGAACACCGGUGGCGAAAGCGGCUUACUGGGUCUCUUCUGACGCUGAGGUACGAAAGCUAGGGGAGCGAACGGG
rnacentral:rRNA from 1 species